UACGGGGGGAGCAAGCGUUACUCGGAAUUAUUGGGCGUAAAGGGCGCGUAGGCGAUUUGAAAAGUCUUGUGUGAAAGCCCCGGGCUUAACUCGGGAAGUGCACAAGAAACUGUUGAAUUUGAGUUCCGGAGAGGAAGGCAGAAUUCCCGGUGUAGCGGUGAAAUGCGUAGAUAUCGGGAGGAAUACCAGUGGCGAAGGCGGCCUUCUGGACGGAUACUGACGCUGAGGCGCGAAAGCCAGGGGAGCAAACGGG
rnacentral:rRNA from 1 species